rnacentral:rRNA from 1 species
GACGAACGCUGGCGGCGUGCCUAAUACAUGCAAGUAGAACGCUGAAGAGAGGAGCUUGCUCUUCUUGGAAGAGUUGCGAACGGGUGAGUAACGCGUAGGUAACCUGCCUUGUAGCGGGGGAUAACUAUUAGAAACGAUAGCUAAUACCGCAUAACAAUGGGUGACCCAUGUCAUUCAUUUGAAAGGGGCAACUGCUCCACUACAAGAUGGACCUGCGUUGUAUUAGCUAGUAGGUGAGGUAACGGCUCACCUAGGCGACGAUACAUAGCCGACCUGAGAGGGUGAUCGGCCACACUGGGACUGAGACACGGCCCAGACUCCUACGGGAGGCAGCAGUAGGGAAUCUUCGGCAAUGGGGGCAACCCUGACCGAGCAACGCCGCGUGAGUGAAGAAGGUUUUCGGAUCGUAAAGCUCUGUUGUAAGUCAAGAACGAGUGUGAGAGUGGAAAGUUCACACUGUGACGGUAGCUUACCAGAAAGGGACGGCUAACUACGUGCCAGCAGCCGCGGUAAUACGUAGGUCCCGAGCGUUGUCCGGAUUUAUUGGGCGUAAAGCGAGCGCAGGCGGUUUGAUAAGUCUGAAGUUAAAGGCUGUGGCUCAACCAUAGUUCGCUUUGGAAACUGUCAAACUUGAGUGCAGAAGGGGAGAGUGGAAUUCCAUGUGUAGCGGUGAAAUGCGUAGAUAUAUGGAGGAACACCGGUGGCGAAAGCGGCUCUCUGGUCUGUAACUGACGCUGAGGCUCGAAAGCGUGGGGAGCGAACAGG